rnacentral:lncRNA from 1 species
UGAUCCGUUCCCAGCCGGCCGUGGCUCCGGCUCCGACGCUGAUAACUAUUUAGGUAUUCCCGGCACGGAUUCUCCUCACGGUCUCUCCUAUCCAUCGUUCACAUCAUUCUCCCUUCAGAUUUUAGCCCGAUUUAAAGUUCUCGCUCCUCGAAUGCGGGUCAUGGUACUUUUAAUCUGAUUUAUUAUUUGCAUCAUAAUCUACAGCUCCAGGAGAAAUCCAUUCAACAACGCUAUGGUCUUACUUCUAGAAAGUGUCUGUCCUUGAUAGCUCGUCUGACGAAAUGGACCACUAGACAAGGUACGAAUUUCAGCAUUCUGAUACAUGUGUCGUAACUAAAAUUGCACGUAGAACACGAUGCGCACGAUCAAAAUUACCGAAAUUAACUCCUUACGAGGAUGAUUCCUGAUGCGUGAAUUCAAACCACCCGCCAUGAAAACUCAAUGCUUUACGUGAUUCACAUCGCGCGCUAAACGUUAUCAUGACAGUCUUUGCGAUAUAAAAAUCUGGCAACCUCAAUUUUGACGCUUUGGCUCAGCUAUAGCAAAUUACUAAUAGUUUGAACAACACAUGGUGGGAAAUGAACUUGCUCGAUUGAGAAGCUUGCUGAAACCGUUGUAGUGCGCGAUUUGACUCACGUAGAGCUUUGAGUUUCUGGUGAGCGGGCAGUUCAAAUUCCUCGUAACCAAUGUGAAAUAAAAACGUUAAUAUCUUUGUUGGGAGUUGGUUUCAAUAAUUUUUGUUGUGCGAAUCGUGUUCGACAUGAAAUUCUGGUUAAGAAAAAUGUGUCAGAUUGCUUAAAUUCUUACCUUGUCUAGUGGUCCAUUGGAAAAGACGGAUAGCGACGGUGAAACUACCAAACCACGUAUCUCGUUUGCGGUGUUUAAAAAUCUACGCUCGCAUUUUAUUUUUUUGAAGUAGACCAAAUCAAUAUCAUUCCUUGAAAUUUUCACAGAAUUUUCUCCGCACGAAGAGGAAAAGUCACAGAAAUUUUCAAGCCUGGACGUUAAGUAGUUUUUCAUUUAAAAAAUAAAGUAUGACAGGAAGUCUGCGACGUUGCAAACCGAGAUACGUGGUUUGAUAGUUUCACCGUCAAUAGAGAGAUUGCCUUACGAGUGACUUACAAGGGAGAAGCA